rnacentral:rRNA from 1 species
UACGUAGGGAGCAAGCGUUGUCCGGAAUCAUUGGGCGUAAAGAGCGCGUAGGUGGCCCUGUAAGUCCGUUGUGAAAGUCAAAGGCUCAACCUUUGAAAGCCGAUGGAUACUGCAGGGCUAGAGUACGGAAGAGGCGAGUGGAAUUCCUGGUGUAGCGGUGGAAUGCGCAGAUAUCAGGAGGAACACCAAUAGCGAAGGCAGCUCGCUGGGACGUUACUGACACUGAGGCGCGAAAGCGUGGGGAGCGAACAGG